GUUGAUGUUGGUGCGGAUGCAGCGUUGGUGCAGUGGCUGGGUCGGCCGCAUGUUGUCACCCAUACUGAGGAAGAUCUGAGACGGCUGGUUUUGACUGAGGAGACGAAGAGACUGCAUCUGAAGAGAUAUUGGAAAGGUGGCUGUCUCAAGGCACGGUGGAAUAGUUAUCGACCCUUCAUAUGUGAUAAAACGGGAGGUUUCGGGAUACAGCUCCUCAAUAUCGAGCCCCAUCAAAGGCCUUUAUCAACCCCCCGGAGCCGUGUGGAGUAUGCGUUUAUGAUGGAUGGAUGCGGAUGGAGACACUUUCUUCAGCUCAUACUCGUUUGGUACUGCAUACUGCCAUUAUAAAGCUUGGAUGCGUCAGGAUAUUUAUUAAUAUUUAUCCGAUUGUGUUCAUCAGAAAGCAGAAAGUCAUAUACACCUAGGAUGGUUUGAGGGUGAGUAAAGCUUGGGCUAAUUUUCAUUUGAAAGUGAACUAAUCCUUUAAGCAACUGAACGCCAGUGGGCAGGGCCUAUAAUGCAAUGAUCUAUAUCUAUUCGUUGAUGUCUUACUCCAGAGGCAGUGAUUUCCCGAUGUUUUUGCCCGUGUGACGUCACAAAUCCCGCAAUAUCAAAACAAGCCAUUUUUGGAGCUUAAAAAAAAAAAAAUGCUUUGUUCAUAAUGAGAAGGACAUUAUAAGCUAUGAAGCUAUGUUUUUAUAUUAAGAACUUUCAGGAAAACAAGUCAUGCAUCUCAGUGCACCUUUAAGCAUAGGGGGUGACUGCAGUUUUUUAGUUCAAAUAAACCUACUCUGAAAAAAAUAGAUUAGUGGUUCAAUCCCAUUCUCCCUUUUCCCAGUAUGCACUGAGGCAUGAAUUAUUAAUAUGGUUUGACCAUAUGCCAGUUUUAUUUACACUGUUGUUGUUUAUUUUGUAAUCAUGCGUGUGAAGUCAAACAGAAGUCAAGCACUUCACUCACCAUGACAUGUUAAUAUCUCAUAAAAAACAAAACAAGUAAUAAAACAGAUUUCAUAGAGCUCUUUUGAAGUUAUGACUUCACAAAUCUUUUUUUUUUUUUUUUUUACAUAGUUAACAUAAGAACAGCACGUAAAAAUAAACUACAGUUAUCAAGUAAAUCUUUGGAUAUUUUUUCACUAUUACUACUUAAUGAAUCAGAAUCUUUUGCAGUGCACUUUGCAAGCACAGGAUGAAUAUGACAUGGCAAUACUGAUGAUUAAUAAUGAAGAGUUGACUUUGAAUAAAACAAUAAAAAGCUUUUAGUGGUUAUAUUUUAUUCUGGUUGUCAAUUAGAAUACCUUUUUCUAGCCUGGUGCACCAAGUCAAGGAUGCACAUUUUUGCCCAUGAGAAUUGUUGUCAGAAAAGUAUUUUUUAUUUAUUUUAUUUUUAUUUUAUUAAGCAACAUGAGCAACAUGGAUGCAUAAUGAAUGUAGUGGAUAUGAGACAAUGGUGGCCAAAUACUGCAGUCAGAUUUCUAUAUAUUUGCAUAACAUUUGAGAGGAAAAAAAACUGAUUAAAAAGUUAAUCUAAGAGCAAAUUCAAUUAGAUUAUUCCAUGUUAAGUAUUCAUUGUUAAUUAAAGUAACAUUACUUUAAAUAGGGCAUGCAAAAUUUCAAUGAAUAACAUUACUACAUUAUAUAAUGCUUAAAAAUAACAAAACAUUACAUUCAAGCUUGAACUUUUAUGGCAUGUUUGACCUGAUCUGUUGAGUGUACUGUACAUAAUGUUUGCUAAAGAUGAAGUUUAAGACUAGUUAAUGAAUAGUCUCCUUUCCACUGUAUACAUUUAGAGCAACUGAA